rnacentral:rRNA from 1 species
GAUGAACGCUAGCGACAGGCCUAACACAUGCAAGUCGAGGGGCAGCAUGAAAUUAGCUUGCUAAUUUUGAUGGCGACCGGCGCACGGGUGAGUAACACGUAUGCAACCUGCCUGUAAGCGGGGGAUAACCCGGAGAAAUUCGGACUAAUACCGCAUAAUAUCAUUGAUUCGCAUGGUUCAAUGAUUAAAAAUUUAUUGAUUACAGAUGGGCAUGCGUAUGAUUAGCUAGUUGGCGGGGUAACGGCCCACCAAGGCGACGAUCAUUAGGGGUUCUGAGAGGAAGGUCCCCCACAUUGGAACUGAGACACGGUCCAAACUCCUACGGGAGGCAGCAGUGAGGAAUAUUGGUCAAUGGACGCAAGUCUGAACCAGCCAUGUCGCGUGAAGGAUGACUGUCCUAUGGAUUGUAAACUUCUUUUAUAUGGGGAUAAAGUGUGAGACUUGUCUCAUUUUGCAUGUACCAUAUGAAUAAGCAUCGGCUAACUCCGUGCCAGCCGCCGCGGUAAAAC